rnacentral:rRNA from 1 species
UACGGGGGGGGUAAGCGUUGUUCGGAAUUACUGGGCGUAAAGGGCUCGUAGGCGGCCAACUAAGUCAGACGUGAAAUCCCUCAGCUUAACUGGGGAACUGCGUCUGAUACUGGAUGGCUUGGAUUCGGGAGAGGAAUGCGGAAUUCCAGGUGUAGCGGUGAAAUGCGUAGAUAUCUGGAGGAACUCCGGUGGCGAAGGCGGCAUUCUGGACCGAUAUUGACGCUGAGGAGCGAAAGCCAGGGGAGCAAACGGG